GUUUACCGGAUGUUUUCGCAAU
rnacentral:miRNA from 1 species